rnacentral:rRNA from 1 species
UACAGAGGUCCCAAGCGUUGUUCGGAUUCACUGGGCGUAAAGGGCGCGUAGGUGGCCUAAUAAGUCUGAUGUGAAAGCUCAGGGCUUAACCCUGAAAUGGCAUUGAAUACUGUUGGGCUGGAGGUUUGGAGGGGGGACUGGAAUUCUUGGUGUAGCAGUGAAAUGCGUAGAUAUCAAGAGGAACACCAGUGGCGAAGGCGAGUCCCUGGACAACACCUGACACUGAGGCGCGAAAGCCGGGGGAGCAAACAGG